GCUUACGGCCAUACCACCCUGAACACGCCCGAUCUCGUCUGAUCUCGGAAGCUAAGCAGGGUCGGGCCUGGUCAGUACUUGGAUGGGAGACCGCCUGGAAUACCAGGUGCGUAAGCU
rnacentral:rRNA from 1 species